AAGGAGUCUAACAUAUGGGCGAGUAUUUGGGUGGCAAAACCUUAUGCCUAAUUGAAGGGAAACGGUUGGGAUAUUUGCACCAUCUAUCGGCCUGGAAUUCUUUGAAAGGUCUGAGUAAGAGCAUAUAGGCUGGGACCCGAAAGAUGGUGAACUAUGCCCGGAUAGGGUGAAGCCAGAUGAAACUCUGGUUGAAGCUCGUAGCGAUUCUGACGUGCAAAUCGGUCGUCCAAUCUUGGUAUAGGGGCGAAAGACCAAUCGCACCAUCUAGUAGCUGGUUCCCU
rnacentral:misc_RNA from 1 species